CAUGCAUUAGUGGGGUCCCUCAGCCUGGCCUGUGCCCUCUCGCAAUCCAGGACCCCUUGGGGAUGUUGGAGAGCAGGUUUCAGCCUGAUCCCACAGGCCAGGCCGAGGGACCCCACUGGUGCACG
rnacentral:pre_miRNA from 1 species